rnacentral:rRNA from 1 species
UUAUUUUUUUAUGGAGAGUUUGAUCCUGGCUCAGAGUGAACGCUGGCGGCGUGCCUAAUACAUGCAAGUCGAACGAUGAAGCGACUAGCUU